ACAAAGGUAGCAUAAUCRUUAGUUUUUUAAUUGAGAACUUGUWUGAAUGGUUGAAUGAGAAAUAGACUUUUUUAAUAGAAAAAUUGAAUUUUACAUUUUAAUUAAAAGGUUAAAAUAUUUUUAAAAGACGAGAAGACCCUAUAGAGUUUUAUAAUUUAUAUUUAGUGUUAAAAAAAAUUWAUAGAUAUUUUUAUUUAAUAAAUUAUUUUGUUGGGGUGAUGAUAAAAUUUAAUUAACUUUUAUUUUUUUUUACAUUAAUAUAUGGUUAAUUGAUCCACUAUUGGUGAUUAAAAAAUUAAAUUACCUUAGGGAUAACAGCGUAAUUUUUUUUUUAAGUUCAUAUUAAUAAAAAAUUUUGCGACCUC
rnacentral:rRNA from 1 species